GCCAGACUCCUACGGGAGGCAGCAGUGGGGAAUAUUGCACAAUGGGGGAAACCCUGAUGCAGCGACGCCGCGUGGAGGAAGAAGGUCUUCGGAUUGUAAACUCCUGUCCUUGGGGACGAUAAUGACGGUACCCAAGGAGGAAGCACCGGCUAACUACGUGCCAGCAGCCGCGGUAAUACGUAGGGGGCGAGCGUUAUCCGGAUUCACUGGGUGUAAAGGGAGCGUAGACGGCCAUGCAAGCCAGGGGUGAAAGCCCGGGGCCCAACCCCGGGACUGCCCUUGGAACUGCAUGGCUGGAGUGCGGGAGGGGCAGGCGGAAUUCCUGGUGUAGCGGUGAAAUGCGUAGAUAUCAGGAGGAACACCGGCGGCGAAGGCGGCCUGCUGGACCGCGACUGACGUUGAGGCUCGAAAGCGUGGGGAGCGAACAGGAUUAGAUACCCCCGUA
rnacentral:rRNA from 1 species